AUUGAACGCUGGCGGCAGGCUUAACACAUGCAAGUCGAACGAACCUUCGGGUUAGUGGCGGACGGGUGAGUAACGCGUGAGAAUCUGCCCUCAGGAGGGGGAUAACGGUUGGAAACGACCGCUAAUACCCCAUAUGCCGCGAGGUGAAAUGAAUUUCGCCUGAGGAUGAGCUCGCGUCUGAUUAGCUAGUUGGUGGGGUAAAGGCCUACCAAGGCAUCGAUCAGUAGCUGGUCUGAGAGGAUGAUCAGCCACACUGGGACUGAGACACGGCCCAGACUCCUACGGGAGGCAGCAGUGGGGAAUUUUCCGCAAUGGGCGAAAGCCUGACGGAGCAACGCCGCGUGAGGGAUGAAGGCCUCUGGGCUGUAAACCUCUUUUAUCAAGGAAGAAGAUCUGACGGUACUUGAUGAAUAAGCCACGGCUAAUUCCGUGCCAGCCGCCGCAGUAACAC
rnacentral:rRNA from 1 species